rnacentral:rRNA from 1 species
GAUGAACGCUAGCGGCAGGCCUAAUACAUGCAAGUCGAACGGUAACAUGAGUAGCAAUACUUGAUGACGAGUGGCGCACGGGUGCGUAACGCGUAUGCAAUCUACCUUUAACUGGUGAAUAGCCCGAAGAAAUUCGGAUUAAUACACCAUAGUAUAUUAGAGUAGCAUUACUUUAAUAUUAAAACUACGGUGGUUAAAGAUGAGCAUGCGUGACAUUAGCUAGUUGGUGAGGUAACGGCUCACCAAGGCUACGAUGUCUAGGGGAUCUGAGAGGAUUAACCCCCCACACUGGUACUGAGACAGGGACCAGACUCCUACGGGAGGCAGCAGUAAGGAAUAUUGGACAAUGGUCGCAAGACUGAUCCAGCCAUGCCGCGUGAGGGAUGACGGCCCUAUGGGUUGUAAACUUCUUUUGUACGGGAAAAAACCCCUCUACGUGUAGAGGGCUGAUUGUACUGUAAGAAUAAGGAUCGGCUAACUCCGUGCCAGCAGCCGCGGUAAU